CCCUCGUCAGGCACCGGGCCCGGCACAGAGCCAGUGCCCCGUCCACGUUUGUUGCAUGACUGACUGACUCCAUCCAAGGCAGGAACUUGUGAGGCUGAAUGGUGGUAACAGUAGGCCACAGCAGCCGGGCGCUCACUGUCCCUUCAGCACCUGUACGCCCAGAGCUUUUGUGGCUUAUGUCAUCACAUUCUCACGGUGCUCCAUAAGCAAGGACUGUACUAUUACUAUCCCCAUUUUACAGAUAAGGAAACUGAGGUUCAGCCGUAUUAUUAAGUCACUUGCUCAUGGUCGUGUUGACCUAGAGGUGGAGCUGAGACCAAAUACAGGUCUGUUUGGCCUCCCGAUGUUCUCGGUGGUCCCAGAAGAGGGAGUUGGGAGGGCCCUGCUGGUGGAUUUCUUUGCUGGUCUGUGCUGCCUUGAGGUAGCCUGAAUCUCAGGACCCUAAUGGCCUGUCUGCACAUCUGUGUGCCCCCACCAGUACGUACUGAGGACUCUUAGAAACGGGACCGCGUCUCCCUCACUUUAGGGACUCCAGGGCUCGGCACAGGCUGUGGGAGGUGCUUAAUGGGAGCUUCCUGGGCAAAGGAGUGGUCUUUGGUCUUCUCUGUUGACUGGGUCCGACACGGUGGAGAUGGCAUAAACCACUCCACGUGAAGGCACUGAAUGUCCGGGCACCAAUCCAACACCAGCUGCCAACAGCAGGCACAUGAGCAGGGUCACUACCCCCAGCUAAGCUGGCCUCUUAGAGUCAAUACUGUCCUCGGUUUCAGAGUCUCUUUGUCCAGCCCCAGGUCAGCUCUCCCUCCCUCCCUCAGCCUCCCAGGACUUCGGAGCUCCUCUCCCCACCCCAUGCCCCGCUGCUCUCACACCUGGCCAAGCGGGGACUUGCUUUCGAGGUCACCGAAGCGGCUCUGUGUCAGGUUUGAUGGAACCAGCCUGUCCACCCCAGCGUCCACUGCGGUGUGCUGGACAAACAGUGGACAUUCGCACAUACAGCCUCCUCCCCCCCCCCACUCCCUCCCCUCUGUGCACACCCAGAUUUUGACGAAACUCAAAAAAUCACUGCGGGGGAAGCGAAGUCCUAACGUGAUCUGUGAUCAUCACAAUUAUUGACCCAGGAACUAGCCGCUCACUCGGGGCUGGAGGUUUACAAUCCUCUGCUGCUGGAGACGCCUUUUGUUCUGUCAAGGAAGCAGAUUGCAGAGCACAGGGUGUGAAUGACAUCGUUACAGGACUUGGUUGGUCAUCUCUUGAUCUAUUUAACAACGAUUUAUGGGAUUUAUGGAGCAUCGCUAAGUGCCUGCCCCUUGGGGAUGCAACAAUGAAUGAGUUGGGAACUUACGUUCUGGUGGGAGAAACAGGGAAUAAUUAAAAAAAAAAAAAAAGAGAGAGGAUACAGAGUAAGUGAGAAGAUGCCGUAUUAAGAUAAGUGCCACCUAGGAAAUCUACAGGGUGC
rnacentral:lncRNA from 1 species